rnacentral:rRNA from 1 species
UACGUAGGGUGCAAGCGUUGUUCGGAAUUACUGGGCGUAAAGGGCGCGUAGGCGGCCUGUUAAGUCGAACGUGAAAUCCCCGGGCUCAACCCGGGAACUGCGUCCGAUACUGGCAGGCUUGAAUCCGGGAGAGGGAUGCGGAAUUCCAGGUGUAGCGGUGAAAUGCGUAGAUAUCAGGAGGAACACCCGUGGCGAAGGCGCUUCCUGGGGCCAUCCUGACACUGAGAAGCGAAAGCUAGGGGAGCGAAACGGG